rnacentral:lncRNA from 1 species
CCUUGUUAGCAAUCCCGACUCGGGGUUCAUUGCUAACCUGUAGCCCCAACAGGUUUUAAGGGUUGUGAAUACUUUCUGAAGGCAGUGUAACACUUACAGCACCUGAGCAGCUGUUGAGUUUUCUUCUUGUCAUCUUCUCAUAGCACACCCUCUUCUACAAUGUCAAUGAAAAGACUGCAAAUACAGUACAGUAAUAUGUUCACCUAAACUCCUUCUCGAAGGGCUUUGCUUCAAUCAAGAAGCGGGUUGAUACGUGGUCACGUAACUCCCUUGCCGGUGCCGUUUCUGGAUGUGUAUCGAAUACGUUUUUUGGGGGAAGAUGCUUCACCGGGAAAUCAUUUGUUUCCUCUUUGCAAUCCACCCUACAGUGGGACCUUCACAUAUCCAGCAAAGGCAAUCGUUAAGACAGUCUUUUUUUCUGCUGCCAUUAAGGUCUAAUAUAUCACUUGUGCAGUCAAUUGUACUUGACAGGCAGCUUCUUGAACUUGAACUGGGUCAUCUGGUGACAGAUAGCAUGGCCUGUUUGUUCAAUUUCCUCUUCUGCAAUGGCAUCGCUCUGAAGUGACUUAUUAUAAAUCACUGUGGUUGCGUUCAUCAUGUAUCUUGUCAGCGCCACUGCGCCAGGGAAAGGCAAGGUGUGUGUGCCUGUGUGUGUGUGUGUGUGUGUGUGUGUGUGUGUCUGAGAGCGAGAGCGAGAGGAAAGACAGUGAGAGAUUGAUUAAGGACACAUAUACGGAGAGUAUCGUGGUAUGAGGAUAUUAAAGAGAAGGUAAGAGUAUGUUUACAUCAAUGUGAACUUGAGGGAGACAAAAACCUCAUGCAUUGGAUUCUGAAUAAUACCGUAUAUGCAUGGGUGUAGGUGUUGUGCCUUUAAGUUGAUGUGGCAGGUAAUACCAAGAGGAUAUAUGUGUGUGUGUGUGUGUGUGUGUGCGCAUGUGUUUGUGUGUGUGCGCUGAGAGUCACAUGGUAGGCUGAGAGAGAUGAAACCCUUUACUUGGCCCUUCACCCCUCAUCACCUUGAGGGGGUUCUUCUGGCUGCCGCAUAUAAGCUUAAAUGUGACUGAGAGAUAAUGAGGAUCAUUCCAUCCCAGAGAGAGAGCAAAAGAGCGAGAGAGAGUGAGGGGAGGGGGAGAGAGAGAGACAGACAGAGAGAUG